GGCAGCGUAGCAUAGUGGUUAAGGAGCAGGACUUGUAACUGAAAGGUUGCGGGUUCGAUUCCAGCCAGGGCGCUGCUG
rnacentral:tRNA from 1 species